AUGGCCGUACGCAUCCGCGCGCCCCUGCGGAGGGGUGCCGUGUGGGACACCAUGGAGCACACCGUAGCCGGGCCUGAUAUCAUGGCGAUACUCAAGAAUGUCAGGGCGUGCAUCACAGCGUCAAGGACGGCCAUGGCGGAUGGCGGGUCGUCAGACCGCCACGAGUCAACGCACCUACCCCUCUCCUCGCACGUUCUGUUCGUGCCCGAUCCCCUCCUUCCCACCUUCUUCCUCCUGCACAGCCUCCUCCCACCUCCCCUCCACCUUCCACUGCCGGUGACGCCAGGGGCUCGUGCCUCCGAUGCCAGAGCCGUACUGCUGUCCGUCUAUCUCUUCUGCCCUGCCAACCCACCACGGAGCGAGAUGCGCGCGGCUCCCUCGUGCCCGGCGACCUUCCCCCGCCAGCCCUGCCCUCCCCCGAUCCACUUACUUUCCCCGUCGGCGCCGCCCUCCCCCAAUCCACCUUCUUCCCUCGCCGGUGCCGCCCUCCCCCGAUCCAUCUAUUUCCCCUUCCCCAGGCAUCGACGAACUUUCCCUCGCCUCAAUCUGCAGCGAUGCAGACGAUUGGUAGUAGGGAACGCCGUCCUUCCCCUCUCCUUGGAUUUUCGGGGCGCCAAGACCCAGCGUGAUCUCCGCGGUGCGUGGCACAACCACUGUCUACCGGCGGCGACAUGUCCCCCGAGCUCCCCCUGCCUCCCUGCGGUCAUCCACUUCCUGUCGGGAUCACCGCCUCUUGAUGCCGGCCAGGGCGAGGAGUUGUCCCGGAGUGGUGGCCACCAAGGCUUCGCCUCCUCUGGAUCCGGCGGCCAUGGCCUCCGCCGUCUCAUCUGCUGCUUCCCGUGGCUGUAG
rnacentral:rRNA from 1 species